UCCGUCCCCCGUUCGUCUGCAACGUCCGAUCUGACGAGUCAAGAAAGUAAGAGGGUUCUGGUGGCGAGCAGCGGAGGAUGAGGGCCCGGAGAAGGCGGCCGGAGCCAUGAAAGCGGCGAUCGUAGCCGGUGGCCGGAGAUAGUGGAUCAUGAGGAAAGCGCUCUCACCAAUGCCUAGAUCGUGAUGUUUUCUUGCCACUGCUAUCGAAAUGGUCCCGUGUCUAGGUUGAGAUCUCGAUGUCAUAGUGGGUGAUGACUAUGCGCUCCAAGGAAGGCGGUCACCAUUACGUCGCAAUAAGAAGGGCGGAGGAGGGCUCUUGAGGGAGGAGUGGUGGAAUCUCCACCUGGUUCGAUCGAAGCACCAGGCCCGGAAAUGGUCCGCCGGGAGGGAAUCACGGGAUCAUCUCAAUUUGAUACCAGCACGACGAGGGAUUCCAGUUCUAAUGUUUCCUACCAGGUAA